rnacentral:rRNA from 1 species
GUCUACGGCCAUACCACCCUGAAAGCGCCCGAUCUCGUCUGAUCUCGGAAGCUAAGCAGGGACGGGCUUGGUUAGUACCUGGAUGGGAGACCGCCUGGGAAUACCACGUGUUGUAGGCU